CCUACGGGAGCUGCAGUCGGGAAUAUUGGACAAUGGGCGAAAGCCUGAUCCAGCCAUGCCGCGUGUGUGAAGAAGGCCUUCGGGUUGUAAAGCACUUUCAGUGGGGAAGAAAGCCUUGGGGCUAAUACCCUCGAGGAAGGACAUCACCCACAGAAGAAGCACCGGCUAACUCCGUGCCAGCAGCCGCGGUAAUACGGAGGGUGCGAGCGUUAAUCGGAAUUACUGGGCGUAAAGCGCGCGUAGGCGGUCUGAUAAGCCGGUUGUGAAAGCCCCGGGCUCAACCUGGGAACGGCAUCCGGAACUGUCAGGCUAGAGUGCAGGAGAGGAAGGUAGAAUUCCCGGUGUAGCGGUGAAAUGCGUAGAGAUCGGGAGGAAUACCAGUGGCGAAGGCGGCCUUCUGGACUGACACUGACGCUGAGGUGCGAAAGCGUGGGUAGCAAACAGGAUUAGAUACCCCUGUAGUC
rnacentral:rRNA from 1 species